GAUGAACGCUGGCGGCGUGCCUAAUACAUGCAAGUCGAGCGAACAGAUGAGGAGCUUGCUCCUCUGACGUUAGCGGCGGACGGGUGAGUAACACGUGGAUAACCUACCUAUAAGACUGGGAUAACUUCGGGAAACCGGAGCUAAUACCGGAUAAUAUAUUGAACCGCAUGCUUCAAUAGUGAAAGACGGUUUUGCUGUCACUUAUAGAUGGAUCCGCGCCGCAUUAGCUAGUUGGUAAGGUAACGGCUUACCAAGGCAACGAUGCGUAGCCGACCUGAGAGGGUGAUCGGCCACACUGGAACUGAGACACGGUCCAGACUCCUACGGGAGGCAGCAGUAGGGAAUCUUCCGCAAUGGGCGAAAGCCUGACGGAGCAACGCCGCGUGAGUGAUGAAGGUCUUCGGAUCGUAAAACUCUGUUAUUAGGGAAGAACAAAUGUGUAAGUAACUAUGCACGUCUUGACGGUACCUAAUCAGAAAGCCACGGCUAACUACGUG
rnacentral:rRNA from 1 species